GUCUGCUGCCACAUCACCCUGAAUGUACCCUAUCUUGUCUGAUCUUGGAAGCUAAGCAGUGUCUGGCCUGGUUAGUACUUGGAUGGAAGGGAUUUCUUAUGCAAGACAUGAAACUCAGAAGCAGUAAAAA
rnacentral:rRNA from 1 species